rnacentral:misc_RNA from 1 species
AACUGAUACUACCUGCGGGAACCUGCGGAGGGAUCAUUCAUAAUAAAAGUGGAAUUAAUUAAUAUGGCACUUUUAAAACAAUCCAUAUCCACCUUGUGUGCAAUGUUAUUAUUAUUAUCAACUCUUUUAAAAUACUAAUUAUCUGAAAUUAUUUUAUGAAUUUUUUUACUUAAUUCAAAAAUAUAACUUUUAACAAUGGAUCUCU